GCGUAGCAAUACGUCAGCGGCAGACGGGUGAGUAACGCGUGGGAACGUACCUUUUGGUUCGGAACAACACAGGGAAACUUGUGCUAAUACCGGAUAAGCCCUUACGGGGAAAGAUUUAUCGCCGAAAGAUCGGCCCGCGUCUGAUUAGCUAGUUGGUGAGGUAAUGGCUCACCAAGGCGACGAUCAGUAGCUGGUCUGAGAGGAUGAUCAGCCACAUUGGGACUGAGACACGGCCCAAACUCCUACGGGAGGCAGCAGUGGGGAAUAUUGGACAAUGGGCGCAAGCCUGAUCCAGCCAUGCCGCGUGAGUGAUGAAGGCCCUAGGGUUGUAAAGCUCUUUUGUGCGGGAAGAUAAUGACGGUACCGCAAGAAUAAGCCCCGGCUAACUUCGUGCCAGCAGCCGCGGUAAUACGAAGGGGGCUAGCGUUGCUCGGAAUCACUGGGCGUAAAGGGUGCGUAGGCGGGUCUUUAAGUCAGGGGUGAAAUCCUGGAGCUCAACUCCAGAACUGCCUUUGAUACUGAGGAUCUUGAGUUCGGGAGAGGUGAGUGGAACUGCGAGUGUAGAGGUGAAAUUCGUAGAUAUUCGCAAGAACACCAGUGGCGAAGGCGGCUCACUGGCCCGAUACUGACGCUGAGC
rnacentral:rRNA from 1 species